UACGUAGGGGCGAAGCGUUGUCCGGAUUUACUGGGCGUAAAGGGUGCGUAGGCGGUCUUUCAAGCCAGAAGUGAAAGGCUACGGCUCAACCGUAGUAAGCUCUUGAAACUGUGAGACUUGAGUGCAGGAGAGGAGAGUGGAAUUCCUAGUGUAGCGGUGAAAUGCGUAGAUAUUAGGAAGAACACCAGUGGCGAAGGCGGCUCACUGGUCCGGAACUGACGCUGAGGUGCGAAAGCGUGGGGAGCAAACAGGAUUAGAUACCCCCCGUAGUCCCUGA
rnacentral:rRNA from 1 species